rnacentral:rRNA from 1 species
AUUGAACGCUGGCGGUAUGCUUAAGACAUGCAAGUCGUGCGGUAGGGGCUUCGGCCCUGAGAGCGGCGGACGGGUGAGUAACGCGUGGGAAUCUGCCUGCUAGUGGGGGAUAGCCCGGAGAAAUCCGGAUUAAUACCGCAUACGCCCUAAGGGGAAAGCCGCAAGGCGCUAGUAGAUGAGCUCGCGUAAGAUUAGCUAGUUGGUGAGGUAAAGGCUCACCAAGGCGACGAUCUUUAGCUGGUCUGAGAGGAUGGCCAGCCACAUCGGGACUGAGACACGGCCCGGACUCCUACGGGAGGCAGCAGUCGGGAAUAUUGGACAAUGGGCGCAAGCCUGAUCCAGCAAUACCGCGUGUGUGAAGAAGGCCUGCGGGUUGUAAAGCACUUUCAGUUGGGAAGAUAAUGACGUUACCAACAGAAGAAGCACCGGCUAACUCCGUGCCAGCAGCCGCGGUAAGGCGUAUGUGU